rnacentral:rRNA from 1 species
UCCUUGCCGUUUUUGCCUGGCUUCCCACUGAAGCUAAGCAGGGUUGAGCCUGGCCAGUACCUGGAUGGGAGACCUCCAGGGGAAAACUAAGGUUGCUGCUGGAA